GCGCCCAUAGCUCAAUUGGAUAGAGCAUCGGUCUACGGAACCGGAGGUUAGAGGUUCAAAUCCUCUUGGGCGCGCCA
rnacentral:tRNA from 1 species